rfam:Capsicum annuum cultivar Zunla-1 unplaced genomic scaffold scaffold2917, whole genome shotgun sequence
GUCCCUUCGGGGACAUCCGAUAAAAUUGGAACAAUACAGUGAAGAUUAGCAUGGACCCUUAGCAAGGACGACACGCACGAAUUGAGAAAUUGUUCAAUUUUUU